rnacentral:rRNA from 1 species
UGGGGAAUUUUGCACAAUGGGGGAAACCCUGAUGCAGCGACGCCGCGUGAUUUAGAAGGCCUUCGGGUUGUAAAAAUCUUUUCUAUGGGAAGAAAAUGACAGUACCAUAGGAAUAAGGACCGGCUAAUUACGUGCCAGCAGCCGCGGUAAUACGUAAGGUCCGAGCGUUGUCCGGAAUCAUUGGGCGUAAAGGGUACGUAGGCGGGUAAGCAAGUUAGAAGUGAAAUCCUGUAGCUCAACUACAGUAAGCUUUUAAAACUGCUCAUCUUGAGGUAUGGAAGGGAAAGUGGAAUUCCUAGUGUAGCGGAGAAAUGCGAAGAUAUUAGGAGGAAUACCGGUGGCGAAGGCGACUCUCUGGUCUGUAACUGACGCUGAGGCUCGAAAGCGUGGGGAGCGAACAGG